rnacentral:rRNA from 1 species
UACAGAGGGUGCAAGCGUUAUUCGGAAUUACUGGGCGUAAAGCGCGCGUAGGCGGAUGAUUAAGUCAGUUGUGAAAGCCCUGGGCUCAACCUAGGAACUGCAUCUGAUACUGGUCGUCUAGAGUUUAAGAGAGGGAAGUGGAAUUCCAGGUGUAGCAGUGAAAUGCGUAGAUAUCUGGAGGAACAUCAGUGGCGAAGGCGACUUCCUGGCUUAAAACUGACGCUGAGGUGCGAAAGCGUGGGUAGCGGACGGGAUUAGAUACCCCGGUAGUCCACGCCGUAAACGAUGUCAACUAGUUGUUGGUCUUAUUAAAAAGAUUAGUAACGAAGCUAACGCGAUAAGUUGACCGCCUGGGGAGUACGGUCGCAAGAUUAAAACUCAAAGGAAUUGACGGGGGCCCGCACAAGCGGUGGAGCAUGUGGUUUAAUUCGAUGCAACGCGAAGAACCUUACCAUCCCUUGACAUGUAGAGAAUUUUCCAGAGAUGGAUUAGUGCCUUCG